ACGUAUCUCCGAGUCCCGUCACGGAUGGCGGUGAUAGGAGUAACGGCUGGUUGGCACAGCCAUCGACGUUCCUGUUUGACAAUGAAACUGGUGCGUUCGCACCUCAAGAACAGGCUACGUCGUAAACCAUAAUAUCCCAACGCGGUCGGGAAUCCUCGCCCUUCAGGGCGGGGA
rnacentral:ncRNA from 21 species